AUUGAACGCUGGCGGCAGGCUUAACACAUGCAAGUCGAGCGAGCGGCGGACGGGUGAGUAAUGUCUGGGAAACUGCCUGCUGGAGGGGGAUAACUACUGGAAACGGUAGCUAAUACCGCAUACCAUCAGAUGUGCCCAGAUGGGAUUAGCUAGUAGGUGGGGUAAUGGCUCACCUGGGCGACGAUCCCUAGCUGGUCUGAGAGGAUGUCCAGCAACACGGGAACUGAGACACGGUCCAAACUCCGACGGGAGGCAGAAGUGGGGAAUAUUGAACAAUGGGCGCAAGCCUGAGUCAGCCAUGCCGCGUGUGUGAAGAAGGCCUUCGGGUUGUAAAGCACGUUCAGCGAGGAGGCGUUACUCGCAGAAGAAGCACCGGCUAACUCAGUGCCAGCAGCCGCGGUAAUAC
rnacentral:rRNA from 1 species